GAGAUGAUUUUGAUGUUCUCUUUGAUGUUAUAAACUUGGAUGUACAAUUAGGAAUCAUUGAUAAAAUGUACAUCAGGCCUGGAUAGGCAGUUAUUUACUAUUCUUACUUUUGAUAUACUAAAGGAAUAAUGCUUUGUAACGGCUUUUGUGUAAGAACUGUAACCUGUGUGGAGUUGUCUCUCUCAGACAAAAAUAACACAUGAUAUAUCACAUAAGGAUGAUUGAACCUGUUGAAUGCAUGAGAGAAUUGUAUUCACAUGGAAGUAUAUACAUGUAUUUGAACUUUACAAUAUACUCAUGUACUGCUGAAUUGCUUAGAAAUCAAGACAUAUGAAAUAUGCUUGGAAAUUGAUCUAUUUACCAAAAAGAAGCCUAUUUGAGUGAGCAAAUAAGAGGUCAGGUCAGGAUAACGCUGACGCCACUUUGAGGGAAAAACAGGUGCUUCCUGCUCAGGUCAGAAUCAGGACACGCUGAGAGUAAAAAUAGGAGGUCAGGUCAGGACAACGCUGAUGUCAUUCUGAGUGGUAAACGGGAAACAGGUGUUUCAGGACAGCGCAAGCAAAAGGAGUAUUUUUAGAAAAAGGGAGUUUCUGGAGAAAACCAAGGUUUUAAAAGCCUCAUGCGAGGGAAGAGCGGGGCUUCCUACCCUGACCAGGACGGGGAGACACACGCUCUUUUCUUUCGCAAUACUAAGGGACACGCUGGCCGGAGGGAUUUAUCAAGCUACUUGGAUAGUGACUCAUUUUUGAAUAUUCCUCCUUAAUUGGCUCCCAUUGAUGUUCCAGGAUGAGGCUAUCUCCUCUGGGCCUCCACCCAGCCAGAUUCUCCUCACCACGCACAUAUGCCACUGAUGUGUCUAAGACCUUUCUCCUCCGGCGUUGCAUGCCUGCAAACCAUGGCCAAGAUACUCCAUGAGCGGAUAUCCUUGAUAGAAUUGGAGGCUAUUGUACAAGACUUCAACAUCAUCAUGUCACAAAGCUCACCUGGACUUCCAGAAUCAGACAUCUUGCACAAACUCAACUCGUAGAUUCCGGUGACACGGUUGCUGUGAACAAGCAGAGCAGAUAAAGCAUAAGUCUGAAUGUAA